GGCUCAGGACGAACGCUGGCGGCGUGCCUAACACAUGCAAGUCGAGCGGGACAUACGACGGAGCAGAAGUUUCGGAUGGAAGCGAAGAUGUAUGUUCUAGCGGCGGACGGGUGAGUAACGCGUGAGCAACCUGUCCCUCACAGGGGGAUAACACAGCGAAAGUUGUACUAAUACCGCAUAAGACCACAUUGGGACAUCCCAGAGGGGUCAAAGGAGCAAUCCGGUGAAGGGUGGGCUCGCGUCCGAUUAGAUAGUUGGUGAGGUAACGGCCCACCAAGUCGACGAUCGGUAGCCGACCUGAGAGGGUGAUCGGCCACAUUGGGACUGAGACACGGCCCAAACUCCUACGGGAGGCAGCAGUGGGGAAUAUUGGGCAAUGGGGGAAACCCUGACCCAGCAACGCCGCGUGAGGGAAGAAGGUUUUCGGAUCGUAAACCUCUGUCCUUGGUGAAGAGUGAGAGACGGUAGCCAAGGAGGAAGCCCCGGCUAACUACGUGCCAGCAGCCGC
rnacentral:rRNA from 1 species